CUUUCUACGGGUUUCUCAGACCCAGAGAGUUCACCGUUGUUUGUCAAGGAGAUAUCACGCACAGCCUAAAAACAUCACACCUCACUAAGGUGGAGGAUCACUACCUACUUACGAUCCCAUCAACUAAAACUAACCACUCACAACAUCCCACCAUAAUUCCUCUCUUCCCUACCGAUAAUGCCUGGUAUCCGGUCAAGGCGCUAGAUCACCUAUGGUCAACCCAUCACGUGCACUUACCAGACUCUCCGCCCUAAUCACUACAAGGGCACCCGCUCACCACGGCUAAAUUCACGACACACGUCAGGAC